CAAUAGCGUAUAUUAAAGUUGUUGCGGUUAAAAAGCUCGUAGUUGGAUUUCAGCUGAGAACGACCGGUCUCCUCCGAGGAGCACCUGGUUUGGUCGAGGCAUCUCUUGGCGGAUAGGUGGGUGCUUGAGUGUGCUGCCUAGCCUCCAGGGCUUUUACUUUGAGGAAAUUAGAGUGUUUCAAGCAGGCAUCAGCCUUGAAUACAUUAGCAUGGAAUAAUAAGAUAGGACUUCGGGCCUAUUUUGUUGGUUUCUGGGACUGAAGUAAUGAUUAAUAGGGACAGUCGGGGGCAUUCGUACUUAACAGUCAGAGGUGAAAUUCUUGGAUUUGUCAAAGACUAACUAAUGCGAAAGCAUUUGUCAAGGAUGUUUUCAUUAA
rnacentral:rRNA from 1 species